UACGUAGGGGGCUAGCGUUGUCCGGAAUUACUGGGCGUAAAGCGUGCGUAGACGGUUAUGUAAGUCGGAUGUGAAAGCCCCGGGCUCAACCUGGGAAUUGCAUUCGAGACUGCAUAGCUAGGAUGCGGAAGAGGGAAGUGGAAUUUCCGGUGAUAGCGGUGAAAUGCGUAGAUAUCGGGAAGGAACACCAGUGGCGAAGGCGGCUUCCUG
rnacentral:rRNA from 1 species